rnacentral:snRNA from 1 species
GUGCUCGCUUUGGCAGCACAUAUACUAAAGCUGGAACGACACAGAGAAGGUUAGUGUGGCUCCUGUGCAAGGAUGGCAUGCAAAGUCAUGAAGUGCUCCAUAUGUUU